rnacentral:rRNA from 1 species
GACGAACGCUGGCGGCGUGCUUAACACAUGCAAGUCGAACGGAAAAGCCCUGCUUUUGUUGUGUGCUCGAGUGGCGAACGGGUGAGUAACACGUGAGUAACCUGCCCUUGACUUUGGGAUAACUUCAGUAAACUGGGGCUAAUACCUGAUAUGAGCUCCUGCUGCAUGGUGGGGGUUGGAAAGUUUCGGCGGUUGGGGAUGGACUCGCGGCUUAUCAGCUUGUUGGUGGGGUAGUGGCUUACCAAGGCUUUGACGGGUAGCCGGCCUGAGAGGGUGACCGGCCACAUUGGGACUGAGAUACGGCCCAGACUCAUACGGGCGGCCGCAGUGGGGGGUCUUGCCCGGUGGGCGGAAGCCUGAUGCAGCAACGCCGCGUGCGGGAUGACGGCCUUCGGGUUGUAAACCGCUUUCGCCUGUGACGACGCGUGAGUGCCGGUCGUGGGUGAAGACGCACCGGCUCCCUACGUG